ACGCCCCGCCCUGUGCGAAGGGGUCUGGGAAGUCGGGUUUUCUGCGAGCAAUAGUCGCAGCCCUCUAUCCGCUCCUUACGGGUGGCCUCAGCCUUCCUCGUUCUGCUAUAGGGUCUUGCAGUGGCUUCCGGACCUUUGAAAGAAUUAAAGCAGCAGGAACUGAGGCUGCGGAUACCUGAGGGACCUUUGUCUGAGGGGCAGGCUCUUACCCUGCAGGAGUCUUAGGGCCUCUAGCCUGCUCUUAACCCUUUCUUUUUACUGCUUUUAUCCCUUCUCCCGACUGUCCUUAGUCUGUAUCUCUGGCCUUAUUAAAAGGAAGUACAACAAGAUGAGGUAUACAAACGGGUGUUGGAUAACCAGAUGAGAAAGCUGAGGUCAGAAAAAUAAACUGAAAAGCCUGAUCUAGAAGAGAAGUGCAAGUAUCUGACGUCCAGGUUAGUGCUGUUUCUCUGGCUCAUGCCUCCAGACUUCUCUCUUAUAUCCUUACCUCCACCCUCUUUUCUCUUCCUCAACUUGUAAUUAUCGCCCAGCCUCCCAUAUUCCCUUCUACAGCCACUAUGUAGCAGGAAAAGAGACCCUUCAGAGGUCAGAGUGUUCCAAAUGGAAAGCAAAACAAGACAAAAUGCCCCAAGGGUCUUAUUUCAAUUUUAGUGAAAUUUAUAAUGAAUACAGAAAAUAUUUGCAGAUAAGCAAAAAUAAGAAACUCUUCCAAGGAUAAGUUCAGCUAUAGCACAUCUAAGAAAAUUACUGGUAGAAGUCCCCACUGUGGUGCAGUGCAUUAAGGAUCCACUGUGUUUAGCCACAGCUAUGGCGUGAGUUGAAACUUGUGUCUUGGAUUCAGUCCCUGGGCUGGGAACAUCCCUUUGCUACAGGUGCAGUGGAAAAAGAAAAUUACUGGCAAGAAGCUAUGUUGAUACAAAUAAUACCAGGUCAAAUCAGCUCCUUCUACCCUUUUGGAUAUUUUUGAAAAUGGCCAUUAUUUCCAUGAGAACAAUGCAUACUUAUUUAAGCAAAUACAAAAAAAAAAAACUUUCCAAAUCCCACAAUCCAGAGGUAACCAUUUUUUUAAAAAGUUCAUGUUAUACUCUUUCAGAUAUCUCUUAAAAAUAAAAAACACCAAGACAUAUAAAUAUGAUAUAUGAUAAACUGGAUUUUAUAAUGCACAUGGUUCUUUUCUCACUGAAUACUGUCAUGAACAAUAUCAUUUUAAAAAGUUGUGUAGUGUCUGUUAAGUGGAUGUAGUCAUUUAUCUAACUAGUAUUCUAUCAAUUCAUUUCUGUUUUUUUCAAAUGUUUACAAUUUUAAAGAACUCUGUGAUGAUCUUUUUAAUGCAUGUACCUUUGCACAGCUGUGCAACUAUCACCUUAAACAAAUUCCUAGAAGUGACAUUAAUGUCAGCCAGUUCUUCAACAUUAUCAGCUAGAAAAAAGAAAGUUGUGAUUACUUUGAAAAAUGCACUUUAUAUGUGUGAUUCAAGACAACCAGAUUCUCCCAUGUGAAAUAGACAAAUCUUGUGGUCUGUCUGGUGUAGUAUUCAGUAACAUGUAUCAAAGCUCCUUGGAGCAGGGUAGCUGGACACUGCUGGUUUUUUAAACCAAAUACUUUCUUUCUUACUAUGGGAGCUCUGAUUUUUUUCAGGGCGACAGUGUAUCCAAUUAAAAGUAAUUUACUUCCUCAGUCUCCUAUAAACCAGGUUAUCCAUGUGACCUGUCAACAAAAUGAAAGUGGAUAUUGCUAGGAGAGGUUCAAAGUUUCCUAGUAAUCAUUGGAUCUGUACCCAGAACAGCAACACAAUGCUAGAGGUGGAAUAGCCGUAUUUCAACCACAAUAACAAAAGCUCUACACGCUAUUAAUAGCAUAGGAAGCCAGAAGGGUUUAGGUUCAUAAUUGCUUUAGAAGGCCAGCUUAUCAACUAUGGACUGCCCACUUCUGGAUUUGUUUUUAUUAUAAGGGAAAAUAAAUCCCUCCUAUUUAAGGCUUUGUUGUUUCAGUUUUCUGUUGUAAGGACUGAAUGCAAUUCCUAACUGACAUAAAAAGAUAGUGAAACUCUGAGUUCCCAUCGUUGCUCAGUGGUUAACGAAUCCAACUAGGAACGAUGAGGUUGUGUGUUUGAUCCCUGGCCUUGCUCAGUGGAUUAAGGAUCCGGUGUUGCCAUGAGCGGUGGUGUAGAUUGCAGACACGCCUUGGAUCCCGAGUUGCUGUGGCUCUGGCAUAGGCCUGUGGCUACA
rnacentral:lncRNA from 1 species